GUAAGGAAUAUUGGACAAUGGUCGAAAGACUGAUCCAGCCAUGCCGCGUGCAGGAUGAAGGAGCUCAGCUCUGUAAACUGCUUUUGUUCGGGAAAAAACCCCUGCAUUCUUGCGGGGCUGAUUGUACUGAAAGAAUAAGGGACGGCUAACUUCGUGCCAGCAGCCGCGGUAAUACGAAGGUCCCAAGCGUUAUCCGGAUUUAUUGGGUUUAAAGGGUGCGUAGGCGGGUUAUUAAGUCAGUGGUGAAAGCUCCAUGCCUAACAUGGAAAUUGCCAUUGAUACUGAUGAUCUUGAGUACAUUUGAAGUGGGCGGAAUGUGUCAUGUAGCGGUGAAAUGCUUAGAUAUGACACAGAACACCGAUUGCGUAGGCAGCUCGCUAAACUGUAACUGACGCUGAGGCACGAAAGCGCGGGGAGCAAACAGGAUUAGAAACCCCUGUAGUCC
rnacentral:rRNA from 1 species